rnacentral:lncRNA from 1 species
AUUAUACUUUUUUACAUAAUUCAAUACACUUGCAUGGAUAUUUGUACACAUUGCACACUGGUGGUUAGCAUAUGCCUUCAAUAAAUACUUCAAUCUCAGCCAUCCUCAGCCAAAAGACAAAAGAAGGUAAAACAAUUGGCAAAAAACCCAAAGUUUGUGUUCGGACUAUAAUCAAUAUUUCCGAUUAGGGACCAAAAACACAAGAAAAUUAUAACAUGUAUAACAACUUUAGAGCAGAGGGCUGUAAUCUAAGAAUUUGGAGAAGUUAGCAUGAAGAUAUACAAAGGAUGAUUGUUGAAAAGGAGAGUAAAGUACGUCUCAAUAAUGCCACUUUAGGCUGUGUUUGGAUGUCCAUAAUCUUUCAGGGAAUGAAAAAAUCUUGAUACUAGACAAAUUCAAAACCUAGUGAUCUAAGCUUGAGUUUUCCCUUCAGGAAUCUUAUUAGUUAGGGAAAACUAUUUUUAUGAUUAUUAGAGUUCAACCUUUCCUGUUCUGAGUUACUAUUGAGCGAGGGUGGGAUCCAGAUCCUACUUAGUUUGGAAAUUGUGCAUAGCAAUGGGGAUAGGUAAUUGGGAAUCGCAUUCCUAUUACCAGUCCGUUCCAAAAGUAGGAAUUUUGGAGAUCCCCCAUUCCCAUUCCCAUUCCCAUCAGAUUCCUUCCAAUCCAAACAGAUCCCUAUGGUUUUGAAGAAUCCAUUAUAUUGAGAGAGCUAAUACUUAUCGUCACACUUUCUUCUUGUCUUUGUAUUCAUCAUAGCAUUUCUUUCGCCUUCCAGUUCUGGAUUCUUCAGAGUCAGGUGAAAAGAAGAAACUAUCAUGAAAUCAGUGGUAUUGGUUUCAGCCCUGAACUUGAAAGAGGAAGGACAAUACUGAGUAAAUGGUCGAAUCGAAUUGAUGGCGAACAAAUCCUUGUUGCUAAAAACAGUGACUAGCGUGGUCACGAUGGACAGAUAUCGUUGUCUGGUGAGCAGAUUGAGGAUGUAACAGAUGAACCAACAGAGGUCUCCCAUUAUGGCAGAAGGCAAUGCAAAGAAAAUAAAAUGAGUUGUGUGCAGAAUCAGGAGAAAAUCGAUGAUUGCUCGAUAAUUCUUAUCUGUAAAAACAUGUCAUGUCAAGAUAAUGAAAAAUUGGCACUUCAAAUAAAGCUCCAACGCUCAUGAGAAAUUAGUAGCUCUAGCAUCGGAAGAGAAUUAUCAGCAAGAAAGGAACACGAUUAGUUACUAAAAAAACAAGAGGGACAGCAAGUUUACUUAGUAUAUAUCUGAUAAGUAGCCCCCACUAGGGGUUUCAUAGAAGAUUAGCCUUUAACAUUUUUGCAGGAUGGAAAAAUAUAUUAUAUAUACAUACCACAUAUAAUCGGUGGAUGUUCUAUUGUUUGAAUCCAACCAUUUCUAUUGGUUGAAAAGCAUGCAGAUUCUCAUGCAGAUCUAACUUGAGCUCGAGAAUUAUCUAUUUUCGUUUUCCCUAGGGAAAGCCAUCCAACCAAGAAGGUAUAUUAAGAGUCUAGACACUGGCUGAAAGGCUUUAUAUGAGAGCGGCAUGCAAUUAUGAGCCAAAAAGCCACAUUUUAUUGCGCGAAAGUUUUUUUUAUGAGCGGUGACACCACCACGUGGUGGCGUCCCAAAUUAAAGUGUAUAGUGGGACGGGGGUACAAAUAUGAAUUAAUUGUCACACUUAGAGAUACAUGUCAGAAUUAUUCUUUGAAGUGAACUCAGCCUUCAAGUCUCAUUCAUAACAUCAACAAGUAAACAUUCACAAGAUCCAAACUGUAACAAACAUAAUUAGUUGAAAGCAGCAAGCUAAAAUUGCCCGGUAGUCGCGGUCGGUAUAGGAACCAAAACACUAAGCACGCAUUUAAUUUGAGUCCAAUUGGAGCCUUAAACAGAAACCCUCGCCCAAAUAUUGAUGGACUUAUAACUGUUAAUACAAGAGGGAAAUUACUAGUAAUAAUUGCAUUCCAAUUCAGAGGAUGUCAAACAAAUAGGUAUUUGGAAGAGACUCCACAUUUUGCGUAUACAAUAAUAUAACACACACAAGACAAUGGGAAGCUGACCGAAGACCUAGUUUUCCAAGUUCUGUUCAAAUAUUUCAUGGCCAUUUCCGCGAAUAAUUCCAAACCAAUAACAAAAAUUCAUGUCAACUCUUGGGUAAUGAAAGAGCAGUAAGUGCCUUGAAACACCACAAUCAAGUGCAAAAGGAAGGAAGCAUCAAUGCAAACCUCAAUGUCUUUUGCCACAGCUGUGAUCUUAAUCCAUUGAGCGAUGCUAUCCUCUCCACAGACAAAAGCACAAUGGCAUAUCUUUGUCAUCUACAAUGGCUCUGGCAAAUCUGAUCACAUCCAAAGAGCUCUUCGGAAGUUUCGGAAUGUCAGAUCAAACUUCCAGGUAUUGUUAACAUUCAUCAUGCAAGCUAGCUCUCACAGAUUCCAAUAUCUUGCUGUUUUCCAGACCAGAGCUGCAGAUAAAAUCAAACGUUAGGACUAUAAACAUUUGGUUAAGAGUAUACUGGAAGACGUGAAGUACCAAUAAGCAAAAAAAAGAUAGGAACCGUUGUUGCCUCUUUUACAGAUAUAAAAAAUUGUGUUCAGUUUUGAAGACAUUUUCCUUCUCUGAAUAGACCUUUAUCAAGAUCCUAAACCAGAUAAAUUGACAACCAGGAACCGACCAACUUCACCAUGAUGAGUAACAGGUUCAAACGUUUGAUGAUCAAUUGGGAUCUCAAAUAGACUCUUUUAACUCAAAAUCUAUGCUUCAACAUUCGUAAUGUUGAAAAACCAGCCUUUGUCUAUGUUUUAUCCAAGGAUCCAACUCUACAAUAUUAAUUCAAAAUAUAAUGUUGAGUACAUCCUAUCUGGAUGAGUCAUGGCGUGUUCAAGUGAUGUGAAACUCUAUUGAGUUUGUAGAACUCUUUGAGAGUGGUAUCUUUUGUUUCCUAGUUAGAUUAGGAUAAUAAUUAGGUAAUAAUUAGGAUUUGUUAGGAGUCUACCACCUUCUUCCCUUGGUCUAUAAAGGGAGGGUAGGGUGUUUCUGUGGUUGUGGUAUGGGUGAGAUAGAGUGUUGUGAGGUGAGAUUGAGAUUGAGAUUGAGAUUGAGAGGCAAAACAGAGAGAUUAUGAGAGAGGGUGUGAGUUGAGAGGUGAUUCUCCUCCAUUGUAAUCCAUUCGUUCGAUAGUAGAUUGUUGAUUUCUCUUCGUGGACGUAGGUAUCGUUGGCUGAACCACGUAAAUCUUUAUUAUCUUUUGUAUGUGUGAUCGGUGAUUUAUUUUGAGCGUAAUAUAUAAUAACUAUGAGCAAUAUUAUACGAUCCAAAACAAAAAGAGAACAAAAUCAUUCAAUCAUGAACACACCAGAAUCUUUAUGUGGAAACUCUUGAAUGGGAGAAAAAUCACAUGUUCUCUUUGGCGGACAAAAAUCAUGUGCUAUAACUUGAGGUUACUGUUGGAUAUUGGUUUAUUUCAGUAUGCUUGUACUAGUAAAAAAAACACUAUUUAUAAGGGCCAUUAUUUGGCUAUUUCUUUAAUUACGAUUUUACCUUUUUCUUCUUCAGUCUUUUCAUAUUAACAUAUAUAACGGGGGUGAGGCACAUGGUGUCCAGAGGGGGCACAUGUCCCCCUCAAGUUUGACAAUUUUUUUUUUAGCUAUAGUUUUAAUUUUUUUUUAUAAUUGGCCCCCCUCAAAAUUAUAAAUGCCCCCCCUUAAAAUACAAAUUCAAUUUAUCCCUCAAAUUUUUUUUCUAGUUUUUCGCCACUGUAUAUAAUUGGGCAUUCUUCAUUGAUGUUUUGAGCUUGUUAUAAUAUCAUUGGGCCUGUGCUUGUUACUGGCCAAGUGAAGGAGAGACAACGGCGUCUGCGCUCUCAGAGUAUGCUCUACAGUUUUUGUUAUUAAAAGUCAUUUCCUGAGUUAUUUGUAAUUAUGGGAUGUUUUUAUUUCCCAAAUGUAACAAAAAAAGAAUUGAUUUUUUUCCUGUUAUAUGUGAAGUCAUGCUUGUUGCAGCAGAUGCAGCCUGUCGCAGCAUCAAGGAUCAAAAAACAAGAAAACGCUCCAACCACUACUAGACAGUGGUCAAGACACUAGUGGCUUGAACAACAACACACACAAUACUUCAUCUGUUUUAUAUUAAUGGUCUAUUUUUACAAUUCUAACCUCUCAAAAAAUUAUUUAUAAUUUAUAAUUUAUAUUGUUUUUGAUAAUUUUAAAAAUUUUGUAUAAAAGAACUAAUUGAAACCUUUUAAUUAGUGUAAAAAAUCUUAAAAAUUAUUCAUAAAAAUAUAUUAUUUGGUGAUUUGAUUAAAGAACACGAAUGCUCAAAAUUAAUAAUUUUAAAAAUUUUAUAUAAAAGAACUAAUUGAGACCUUUUAAUUAGUGUAAAAAAUCUUAAAUAUUAUUCAUAAAAAUAUAUUGUUUGGUGAUUCGAUUAAAGAACACGAAUGCUCAAAAUAAACUUAGGACGGAUGGAGUAUUAUGCGGCUGGGAAGGAAAUAUAAUUUUUUUUUGAUUUUAUAAGGAGGAAAGAAAAUAAUAAACAACAUAAAUGAAAAAAAAAAGUGGAGAUUUUUUUUUAAGCUAAAAAGUGAAGAUUAAUAAUGUGAAAAAAAUCCAAAAUCUAAAAAGAAAACCAAACCGUACCCGACCAAUUGCCAUCCAAAUACUCCACUUAGAACCCUGCGUUGGGUUCCUUUGCCCCUCUCUCUCAAACAGCUCGGAGUAGAAGGCAGCGAGCACACUACUUUCUGGAUAUGAGGCCUUCUAAGGGGUUUAUGUGGAACAAUCUCUUCAAAGAAUUUGAACAUUUUUUUUCUCAGUCCACGCCCGACCUUGUCCGAAUCAAAGAUUGUUUUCGCACUCGUUUUAGGACGAAAACAAUCUUCUCUGAUCUCCGCUUUUACUCCACCGGUGCGUUUCUUCAUUCUUCUUUUGAAUUUUUUUGCCUUGCUAAUAGUACUGUUUUAUGUGCGAGUCAUUUUUUGUUGGCAAGUAAAUUGCUGGUUAUAUCAGGCGUUGCAAAAACACUCGCUUCAAAAUAAAGCGAGUCGGCAUAAAAAAGGCGAAAUAAUAUAAUAUAUAAAACAGGUUAUCUUGGUGGUGCAAUAUUUUUUCUGAAAACCAUCAGCCCAGAGAUGGACCCAGGAUUUUGAAACGUGGGUGGCGAGCAUGUAUCAAAAAACAUCUUAGGUUAGCGAACCUAUAUAAUACUACUAUAAUAUUAGAGUUUUUUCAGAACCUUAGGUUAGCGGUCGCCCCUGCCACCCUCCUCUCUUUCCAUCAUCCUUGCAUCAGCAUCGCAUGAAUGCAUUUUUACAUGUGGAUAAUUAUCUUAGAUAUAAACCAUGAAUUUCAUACUCUGUAGUUUUUAACUUGAGAAUAGAUGUACUUGUUCUCCAUUGCUAAUAACAGGUAUUAUUGAAAAAUAUUACAAUGUUAUAAUUUAAAUUGUGAAAUACAAGCUUAUGAGAUUUGGUAUUUAUGGAUGAGUGCUGAUAUACAAACAGAAAAUUUAUAUAGAAUUUUUGUAUAGGAUGAUGUGGAGAAGGUAAAGUCUUUCUAUUUAUAUAGAUGGCUUUUAUUCACCAAAAGGCCAAUGACUCAUCAUUCUUGUGGUGUUUUAUGUUUUUAUGGAUAUGUGUCACUUGUCAAUAGAUAAACACCUUUCUUCAUAAUCAUUCCAUAGAAUGACCUAGGACUUAUUCUUGGUCUAUCGGUCAUUUUAUGGGAUAUGACAAGCACAAUUUUGGGAUUUUGGUCUGAUGAGGAGGCUUCUUUAAUCCAAACGUGGCCAUUUUUCUACUGGCAUGUUAGUAUGGUCCUCAAGAACAUUGUUCUAGUAUUUCGCUAGGUGAAAAAAAUGAAGAAAAUAAUUUCCUUUUGUUCCUUUCCCAUUGCCCCAUAGUAAUUUGAAAUAUGACGAAGGGCUUCCUAUUCAUCUAAACUUGGUGGAGCAUACUUUUCUAGAUUCAGGUUUGAUUGCCCAUUGAGUCACUAGAAUUCGAUAAGGUAUUUGGAAUUUAAUGUUGUAUUUUUAUUUUAAAAUGUCUUAGUGUGAUUUUAGAGAAGAAAGUUUUAGGUCUUAAGUUUUAGUAUUAUGAUGUUAGUUUUAUGUGAUAUCUUAUGUUAUUUCGGGGAUCUAAGGCUACAAAAUUGCUUUUUUGGGGAAACAUGAAUGUGGCCUUGGUAAGUGUAAAUAUCGUAGAGCAAUCUCUUCCAAAGUUUAAGCUUUAUUCACCUACAGUCUUUAUCGUAUUUUUCCCUAGAGUUCAUUCUAUAGGCCUGCGAUAUAAUGAAUCACUGAUAUGUUGACAAUUUAAGCCUAAAGAUUUUCAUACUUAAUGCCUCACAUAUUAGAAAUUAAAAAUUACAACAGUAUAAUUAGAAAGACUCAGAAUCAAAUUCUGAUUACUGAAUUGACAAAACCGUUUUGUGACUUACAUCAAUAGUAGGCUAGGCUGCAUCAAAACUCAAGACAGUUAAACAAUACUCCAUUUUUCAUGGCAGUUGGUUAUUACGGAUCCAAGUUGCCAUUUAUUCAUUAAUUUUUUUAAGUUAUUAUUUCUAUGGAUUAAUAUUGAUUCUACAUUUCUAUGUUCCAAAUGCUUUUCCCUCUCCAUUUAAAAAGAACAAUAUUAUUACUUGUUACCAACUCUAGAUUGGUUAUGAUGAUUAAACAUUAAAAUGGCAGAGAACUGCAGCCUCAAAUAUUUCUGAUCUAAUCAAUCAUGGAGAAAAGGUUAUCGGCGAUUGAAACACAGAAGUGACUUAUCUUAAGUUUCAUAAAUCGGGUAAGUAUCAUUCCUGGGGAUUCGUACUUUUCUUUUGAUAGUGUAAUAAUUAGGCAUUAGUACAGUGUGGUUUGGCAAAACUUCAGAUGGUAGGGAUAUAGGUCAAGGAAACUGUACAAAGAAUGCCCUUGGGGUUAUGCUUCUACUUUAAUUAUCUAGUUGUCUUGCCUAUUAAAAAUUACGAAAUUCUCCAAUAUGAAGCUGGAUCUUUUGGAAUAGAUACAUUUCCUUCCACAUGCUUUCUGAUUGCUUUGAAAUGUUGAUAUAUCCUUAUUUUGCUCAUUCUCUUUUGUUAUUGAACUGAAUUAAUUUCCGGCUAUUUUUUGUCAACACUACUAAGGACCUAUAGAUUUGCCUACUUGACUUAUUAAAGAUUAUUAGAAUGGGUUAUUCAAAAAGGAAAAGACGCUACUUAGCCCCCCUACAGUACAGUUGAAGUCAGUGGCUGAGUUAGCCUAGCCUAGCAUACUGUACAAUACAAUAGUAGGAUAUAUUAUUGAACUGAAUCUUAAUUAUGUAUAUUAUUUUUGAUGAUUUUGUAUGUUGAUUGAAGACAGCCAGAAGCCUCACCAGCAGAGUAUGCAAGAGCCAAUAUGGAGCUGCGAAACCCCAAUAUGAAGCUGCGAAACCUCAGGGGUUCGAUGGAUCUUAUAAAUGAAUUGAGGACUAAACAGAAGGUAUACUUACUGGGCCUUCAAGAUCAUCUUUUAUUCUUUUCAACACUGUUCGGUUUGGACCUUAUUCAGAGGAUAUGAUUUGUUUUCCAGAGCUUCCAGUAUCAUGUUUGUCCUUCUUGCUUGAGAUUCAAAUAAUGGAAAACUUUAGCUAGGAUUGCCCUUCCAUCCCCAUUUAAGCAUCCAAACACCAAGAAUUUGUACUUUAAAAAUAAUGAACUUAUAUUUUAUAAUUAUGAAAUAGGAUGUUCUCCUGUUUGUAAUUCAUUUAAAACAUUCAAAAAAUAUGUAAAUUGUGUUUAUACUAUAUAUCACUUCAAAAUAUGAUUUCUUUUUUCGUCAUGCGUAUUUAAAUUGCAUUGCAUUCUGAGAGAGGAGAGAGCGCCGGAGGGAGGUGGGUGGGUGUGUCAUGACUACCAUGCCACCUCAUAAAUAAUCAACUGAAGCUUGCCUGCAUUUAUUAGGUCUUUGCAUAAUAUUCAACUUCUGUUCUUAGGAGACUUGAAAGUUUGCAAUGUGCCUUUCUUUCUUCUUUCUUUCUUUUUUUUUUGGGGUGGGUGGGAGUCUGGGUGAGGCAGGAGAGAAAGAGUUCAACACCAUCCCGUGGAUUGGGGCACAGUUUGCUCUCCUGUCAGAGAGGAAGGCUCAGGGUGUGAAGGUUGAGCAUUUUCGACAAGCCCUCCUCGGGAAAUGGAAUUGUGAGCGUUUGCUGUCUAUAGGGAGAGGAAGAGAAGGUAAUUGUUGAACUAUGGGUCCACUAGGGAUGUUUGAUUUCCCUUUCCCCGCAGGUGUCACGUACACAAGUGGUUUUGAAGGUCAUUUUGAAAAUUUGGAAAUGAUUCUCAAAGAAUGGCCUGGUUUUAUGGUGUAGAGGGAACAAAGUGAUUCUUGGAUGCAAGAACUGAAUGGGUGGACAUGGAGCUGUCCUUUCGUUCUAUUAUUUCAUUCUGUCAGGUGGGACGCUUCAGUGAGGAUUAGAGUUAGAGGGGAAGAGAGGUGUUUCUUUUGGGGAAAUGGCUGUGGAGAUCUGCACGAUUUGUUGAAGAUCAUCUUUCUAUUUUCUUUAUUGGCUCUAUUCGUCAUCGGGAGGGAGGAAUUGUCUUUGGUGGGAGGAUAGUCUUUGCUGUCAAUCCUGUUACAAACAUGACAUUUUGGCUUGAGAAAGACUAACUUUCUGUGGAAAGGUAUUUGUGGUUGGUGGGAGCUCUUCCAAAGUUGCCUUCUUUGUGUGGAAUGUGGCCCUCAGGAAAAUCUUGACGAUUGAUGAUCUUGUCAGAAGGCACCAUUUUAGUGUUAGUUGGUGUUGUCUUUGCAAGUAGGAUGAGGAAACUGUUGAUCAUAUGCUCAUUCCUAGCCAGAUGGCUUAUGAAUUGCGGUGCAACCGUGCUUGGUUCUAGGCUUCCAGCUUAUUUUGGGAGGCAUUGAGUCUUUCAAAAAGACGUGAUGGAAAUUUUGUUUGGUUGGUUGGGGGCUAGAGUCAAGAAGCGAAGGCGAAAAACUUGUUUGUUGGCUCCAUUAUACUUGACGUGGUUAAUUUGGAUUUUGAAGGGAGCAUAACUAGAGGACUUUCAACCUUGAAGAGGAUCCUAUUCAUCAGAUUAAGAGUUCAAUUACAUCGAUUUUGUAUUGCUGGGAAUCUGGGAUUGUCUUGCUUAGCUUGGACAAUUUGUGGAUUUUAUAGAGUCCUUGUAUACGUGAGAUUUUUUUUUGGCCUUUGUUGUGUGUAUAGGCCUUUUCAUGGUAGCAUCACCUGAUGCUUUCUGAUAUAAUUCUUAAUCAGAGAAAGUUGGUUGUAGCUGAUAUGUCAAAACAUGUUUGAAUCUUAUUUUCUUCAGUCGCAGUGUGCCUAGAAAAAUGAGUUAUCUGUCAGUCCCUUAGGACAUUGAGGUAGAUCGUUUAUAUGUUGCAGCUGAGGUAGCUGGAUGUUUUAUUACAUUUUUGCCUCCAAUUAUUUUCGCCAUAAGUUUUGAUGUGAAGGACAAUGUUUAUUCCUGUUGGAAUUUUUUUCAUUUUUCUUUAUUUUCCCGAGGGAGAUUGAAGGUUUGGAGUCACUCGUGUCUGAAUGUGAGAAGACAAAGAAAUGCUGUGAACAUGGCAACACAGAAGAAAUGUGCAAGCCAUAGAAGAAGCGCGAGGACUGCAGAAUCAGCUAAUGAAGUCACUACUUCCGAGGAUGAUGCCGAUGAACGGGACGGUAUUGUGGAGGUCGAGAGCAGGUAAAUAUUACUAUAUAGUGUUAUCUGAGGCACAAUUGCCAUGAUGCCAUAAUCUUUCAAUGCAAUUUGCAUCAAGUUUUUUUCGGCAGUGUGUGAAAAAUUACAAUUGUUAAAUUUGUAUCACGUAAACUGGAGAGGGGAAGACGCUGCGAUGUUUGCAUGGAAUAUUCAAAAUGUAUGUUACUUUGGAUUUAUUUUAAUUCCUAAGUCUCUUUCAGGUUCUCCUUUACAUUAUGACUCUCUUUUAAAAUGUAAUCAGGUAUGAGAGAUACUCACUGAAGAACAGCUUGGAAAGUUUGAUGUAGGUAGAAGUAGCAGAGUUGAUUUAAAAGGAUAUAAAGUAUGUAAUUCUGUGCUUUACUGAACAGUCUCAAAGUGAACUUGUACAUAAAUCAAUUUCGACAGAAUAAGCUUAAUUGUGACAUGAAACUUCUCCAGCUCUUUUUUUGACAUGGAAAUUCCUCAUGUAGAUGGUUUUGUGUCUCUUAAGGCUGGCUAUUGCAAUUAAUUCCAAUUUGGUUGUCCCAUAAGCUCCUACCUUAUCAAUCAAUGAUAGGAAGCUUAGAUGCAGCAAUCUCAGGAGCGGACGUAUAUGAGAAACUCACAUUUGAGAUGGAAUUCACAGGUGCAGGUUACCCCUACUUCCUAUCUAACUCUACAUUUGUCUUAUUGGGAACCAGAAAUUACAUAGAUUGUUGGUUCUGCCAGCGAAGUUGACAGUUACAGAGAAAGAAACGGGACGUGUUCACACCAGCGCUAUCGAGGUUUGUGGUCUGUUGUAUCCUUCCUCAAGCUGAUGAGGUGAUGUGCACUUUUGAAAUUCUCAUUAUUCUGAUUCCUUUACUGUGAACAUUUAGUAUGUUCAGAUGGUUGUUCCUCAACUGUAACUGUUUAAAAAUAACAAGUAUGCGGUUCUUGUACUUUUUUGCCCAUCAGUGCUGCUUUUGAGUUCGUGCUGCUUUGGGAAAUGUCAAGAAAAGAUAUUGCCUGAUGCUCCAAUAAUUAGAUCUUUAAGAUUCAGAGUUUUAAUACAAAGACCUCUGAUCACUUUCAAGGCUUUUACAGGUUGGUACAGUUGAGGCAUGAAGAUUUGGAGAUUGAUACAUAUAGAUCUGAGUGGUUCAGUCAGGCGGUCAGCAAUGCCAAUACAACUAACAUUGGCUGUUAAGGAUAACUCAUAUUCCAAUCUGGUUUUACUGUCUUCCAUACAGAUGACGAUCCCACAUAUGGUAAAAUUCAAAUGAUUGCAACCAUGUAACCUUCUUGUUCAUCUCUUCACUAUGUUUUGACCGAUCUUUUCUUUCAACAACCGAAACAGUUAUAUCUACAAUGAUAUAUACCCUUUCAAGGAGAUCCCCGUCCCUAUUUACUGUGAUUAUUCACUGAAAACGAGAGAAUCAUCAUGUUUUCUGAAACUUAUUACUGCAAAGUCUGUUAGCUUUUAUGUUUUAGCUCCAAUAUUUUGGAACUGUGUACAUUUUUUUGUUGAGUUUAUUAAGUUGCCAAAGGGGGGUUGGAAGCGGUUGUGGGUUGAGUAUGGGCGAGUCAAAAACGGGUCAAAAACUAAUGGGUUAAAUAUGGGUCAAGUCAUUUUCUCUCCCUCUCUGUUCUUUUCUAUAUUUUAAUUUCCUUCUCUCCUCUCUCUAGGAUGCCUUUUGUGAAAAAUUAAUCAAUAGGUUUAAAUUGGGCGGGUUAAAUUGGGUUUUCCAUAGGUUUAAAUAGGUGGGUUCAUGGGUUUGAACCCAGAUUGCCAGCCAUAGGUUUUAUAUAGUUUCUUGGAACUGUGUUAAUCUUCUUUCUCAUCUUCCCACUUGUUUUUCCUCACAUUUUGCGUUUUUGUAUAGAACAAGGCCAAAGCACUUGAGGUACUCUGUGCAAGACUGUAUGAAAUGGAAAGAUCUAGAAUCCAAACAAGUAGAUCAAAACUUCGAUCAGAGCAGGUAUAAAAUUGUAAAUAGCUUUAAGAUGGGGAACACUUCGUCUUGUUAUUGUCAUCAUUGCCCCUUUUCAAGACUGAUUUACAGUGCUUGUCACAAUGGGCAGAUUGGUAGUGGGGACAGGUCAGAACGUAUACGUACAUACAACUUUCCACAAGGUCGCGUUACUGAUCAUCGUGUUGGCAUCACUCAUCAUUCAGUAAACGAUGUAAUGCAAUGAGAGAAUCUGGAUAUCUUCAUUGAUGCUCUUCUUUUGCAACAGGAAAUGGAUGCAAUUGCAUCUUUCAGCUCCGGCCAAUGACACUCAAGGUCUCUUUCUGCCGACCUCUAAACUUCCUUAAUAUGUUUCCCCCAUUUAUUGUAUUGGUAUAACUGGGCAAAUUUUGUUUUGUGUUCUUUCCUUGUGAGAAGGAUGUUUAUUAUUUAUCUUGAAUAGUUCAGGCAGUUUCUAUAAUAUCUACUUUAGAUUCUGAACUACCAUGAAAUAGCUACGAAGAUAGUAUUCUUGAUUCCAUCCAGGAUUAAUAUUAAAAAUUCUGAUACGAACUGGCUGUAUGAAAAUGUAAUGUUUAACAUGAAAGCCAAACCGACCACAUAUUCUGCUUUGCUCUGGUGCGUGUAUUGCAUGUUGCUUUGGUCCUGGGUAAACAAUCGUAGAAUUGAUUUAAUUUGUAUUUUUUCCGAGUUGAUUGGUUGGAUAAACCAAUCUACCUGAGAGCUGACCUUUAAUUAACACACACACAACACACACCACACUCACAUGUAAGUUACAAGUUACAACCAUUUGUGAAGAUCAUUUGAUUGGCUCUAUACCUCUUGCAGAAAUUGUGUUGCGUUAUACAAGAAGAACACAUAAUGUGACUUGAGAAUAUCAUUUUAAAAUGCAAAAAGGUCAUACUGUUUCCAAGUAUUAGGCAACUUUCGCUAUACAUUUUAUGAUUUUUGGCGACCAUUAGGAAUUGGCUCUGAUGUAACCCUUUUUUUUAUGUAUUCUUCUUUUCGGUUAUUAAUUAUUAUUAUUUGUGUGAUUCUAGAUGGUUCUUAAUCUGCUUUAAAACUAGUUUGUUUUAAAAAAUCACACAACUUAUAUUGAUCUCAUUAAUGUUGGAAUGAAAAGAGUAGGCAAAAUGUUGUUGUAGUAAAAACACUGUCCUGAAGGGUUGGUGGUUGUUUCUUUCAUCAUGUUUUUAACUAUGUGGUUGUGACAAAUAUGUAUACAUGAUUGUAUUUCACUGCAAAAAAUUACCAUUUGUUUGUGAUAUUAUAAUCAGCUCCAUUGAUGAGGAGUGUUCUUGAUCUUGAUACAAUUUUGUGGAUCAAAAGCUCACCACCCCCAUUCUGCCCCGUAUGUAUGCUGUAAAUAUAAAGGUUUCAAUCUCAUAGAUUUCAUUUUAACAGUUUGCAUUUGGUUGUAUUUGGAUCAAUGGUUUUGUGAAGCGUUUAUUGAGGGAAAGGAAAUAUGAGAAUAUAAUGAACCAAGGAAGCUCAUUUGUUUUCUUGUUCUUUUGUUUUCUUCUAUCAUUUUCAUUUCCCGUGGUGUAAUUCCAUCCAGAACUUUUAUCCAAACAUAGCCGUAAGUAUUUGUGCUUAUCAUUCAUUUUCUCAUGAUACAAUAAGUAUGAAGGAUUGGAAUGGUCCGCUGGUGCGUGCUUUGGUUUUUUAUUAUGAUCGCUCGAUGGUCUUUUGUUUUUAUCAUUCACUUUCCCAAAUCACUGUCAAUCUUCGUUGUCGCCAUUAAUAAACACCACAAAUUCUUAUUAUAUAUUGUUCGCACUGACUGUAAUAUAUGUUGCAACUUCUGUAUUAUGACAGAUAUCAUAUAAAUAUUAUAAUGUAACUUGGAAGCCACUUUUUGGCGUUCAACAUCUUCUAAUUACUUAACAUUCUUUGCCUUCCUUGUAUGGGUGCUUAAGUUUCUUUCUUCUUAUCUUGCAGUAACUUACAUGCAGGAUUUUGCGUGUAUCAUUUAAGUUUUUCGACAUUUAAUUAUGGGGAUUAUUUUAUUUCGGAGAUUUAAACUACUUAUUGUGUCUUUUCAACACAAUAAUUGGCCUCCGUAGGUAUCAUUCAUCCCUUAUUAGGGCCGCACAUGCAUGCCAUCACGACCCAUUUUUGUAUUGUACCUGAUCCAAUUCAGCAAAUCAGCAUCAAGCAAUAGAAAAAUUCUUUAUAAAUCGACAAUUCCACUGUCCGUUUAGCCUUGCUUGAGCUUCUCUUUCCUUCUUCGUUCCCAUUAAAUGGACUCAUCCAAUCGGGUGGGAGGUAGGACGUGAAAGAGGCCCUGUAAUGGUGAUUUUGAUUAUGACACAGAAUAGAGGAAAUCACGCCUUGGCGAGGGUGUUUCAAUCCACGCCCCUUUUUACAAUAUAGGAUGCCACAUGAAUAGACAAGGGUCGUCCAAUCAAUAUUGGUUGAUCCAACUAUUGGUCAACCAAUAGUGCGGCAUGCCAUUUAAGAGAGUGUAACUUAAGUUGGGGGAGAGCAUAUUACGUGCUUUAAUAAAGGGCCUAUCCCUUUUAUAGUACAGCCUGACGCGUGUGAGGAGACGACGAUUAUCAUGUAGAUAGUAGGCGACUGGGUGUGGCUGAUAGUUAAUCAUCACAUCAUUAAAAUUUGAAUCGAAGUGUGCUGGUGGCCGAUGAUACUUACCGUGUACGUUCUUCUAUGAUCCAAAACUUCGCCUUGGGCAUCUCCUCCAAGAUACGUUUAUCGAUUGACUUCUUGUGCAAAUAUGUCGAUCGAACUUACUAUGAAGUAACAGUCGGGAAGCGGUGCUCAUCAAAGUUUUUCGGUCGGACGGGAAUAAUCGAUAAUAUUUUUAUAUUCUUUCCAUAUAAUAUAUAUUUUUAUAAAAUAAAUCAAAUAAAUCAAAAAUAUUUAUAAAAUAAAAGUCAUCACAACUCAGAUUUGGUCAAAGUGUCAGUUUACUUCUAGAGCACAUAAAAUAACAGACACAAGAAUUUAUUUAAAGAUAAAAAAAAUGAGUAUUUACAUACAUUACUUUUGUUCAAACUAGUAACUAGGGGUGUCCAAAAAAAUCUGAAAACCGGUGGAACUCGGACCGACCGAACCGAAUCGUGCCUUUUUGGAUUGUGUUCCUAUGGUUUUAAUGGUUAUGUUCUUGGUUUUUGAAAAAUUAAGGAACAUGUACUUUGGUGUUCGGUUACCGGUUUUUAUUUUCAAACUUAGUGUCGAACUUAAACCAACGGAAUCGAUUAUAUAUAUAUAUAUAUAUAUAUAUGUGGUGUAUAAUUAUAUGUAUAUAUCUACGCGAACACAUAUUUAUCUAGAAUCUAACAAUGAACAGUCGUAAUUCACACCUAGUGUGAUUAUUUUGGUUUUCUCCCAAACAAAAAAUAUUUUCCACUUUCCCCAUCGUUGGAUAUGUUGGUAUUCUUAUCGAAAAAUGAUUUAAAGGCGUAAGUAAAUAAUGUGAAUAAACAAUUGAAUAUUCAAUAUAGUGUACAAUUAUGUAACAAUUUAUUUCUAAAACGAAUUAAAAUUGAUUGAUCAAGCGAGUGUUCAACACUCUUUCUUAAGACAGAGUCGCCCCCCACACAGGUGCUCAGGGUCUAACGGGCUUUAUCCCAGAUAAAAUGAUCACGGACACUGAAUAAGUUGCACUAUAAUAUUCAAGUCAAACGGGAGUAAAAUCUUAAAAUUCGACUCUCUCCAUGUACAAUAUGAAUAUGAUAUGAAAUGAUAAAUCAAAGAAGAAUUAUGUCAAAUUCCAUACAGAUUAUGACAUUUAAAUUCUAUUACAGAAAAAAUCAACAUCGUUUCUGAUAAAAAUCAAUAUGGCAUGAUUAUGGCUAAAGUAUUUCUAAACAGAAAAUAUGUUCUCCCAACAAUGUAGAAUUUUAUACAGAAAAUUCAUACAGAAUACAUAAAAUAAACAAGUAGAGCAUUUCAUCAGAAAUUGUUCCACCACCCACAUUAUAAACCAGAAUUAAAUUAGGUAAAUCAAACGAAUUAAUAACGAAAACCGGAACAGAAAAUCUGGAAUACAUUGCUGAAUUCGAUGAACAGUCUGGUACAGUCGCUUGAAAAAUUCGAUAAGAAUUUGACGUCGGAAUCUGGGCCAGCACACUUCGUUGAAGAGAGAGAGAGAGAAGAUAUAGAAAAUUCUGGAACUUUUCUUUCUUUUACAUCAAAGGGAAAAUAUUUCUAUUUAUAGAAAAUAUGGCACCUUUCGAAAUGGUAUCAGCCAAACGCACCCUUAGGAAAAGUUUGGCAGCCCAUUCGAAAUGGUUCCAGCAAACGAGCUUAGGAGGGUUACAAACCUUCGCAGCCAAAAAGGCCUUAAUGGAAGUUAUUAAAGUUGGAAUUUGAAUUUUUAAAAUUCAACACAACAAUCAUAUUAAAAAGACCCAAACUUUUUAAGAGUAUGAUAACACCAACACAACGCCAUGAGCCGAGUGCGACGGACGGCGGCGGAUGCGGCGCGCGUGGAGUAAUUGGUCAAACACUGGUUACAUAGGUCUUUCCCCUUUAAGAGUGGGGGUGCCCCUUGGGACCCAACCCCUUGACUAAAAUUAGGCCUUUAUAAACCCAUUACUUUUUCCAUAGAAAAUCAAUGGGGACUAGCCUUUGGUUUCACCAACAAUCUAUACCAUGGUACCGACUUUGGAGCAAUUAUUUCAUUCAAACCUCCAUGGAUUGAUGCAAAAUAAAUACUUGUUCUUUCAUCUCUCAAUGGAGGAGACACAAAAACAAACUUGGACCCACUUUUAAAAAGGACAUGUGGGUAAUACCUUUAAAAAAAUAUUUGGCUCAAAGUUCGGGGUUCGGUCAACCAAUUUUUUCAAACAGACAACUUAGGAUACUCCAUUCACCGUUCCCAUCAAAAACCCUUCCACCAUUUUCUCUAUCCCAAGAUUUAUUAAUUAAAUUUUCUUUGAUGAUCCAUUAUGAAUUAUUUUUUAAUUUUCGCUUUAUUCAUUUUUGUUGUUAUCCAUUAUAAAGUCUAAAAUUUUAUGAGUUGUUAAUGCUAUAUAGAGUUGGUUGAGAUAAAUCAUUUGAAAGAGUCAAUUUAUGAAACUUUUUGUACUAAUUUUUGGUUCUGACCUUAAUAAAAUAUUAAAUGAAGGUAUGGGUUAUUUAAAUGAAAAAAUUUUGUAAUUUAUAUUUUAUAAAAAUAUUUAAGAUGGUUAAUGGAUUGAACCGGGGGAAACCGAAUCGGAACAAACCGAUGAAGCGGAUUGGUGUUGGUUUGGGUUAGUUCUAUAGUGGAAUGGUUAGGCUCCGGUUUUAGUUUUCAGAACCUGUUAGCUGUAAACAUGGAUUGGUUCAUGGAUUUUAUAGAAACCGGACCCAAUCCGGAUCAUGAAAACCCCUACUAGUAACUCAAUAUCAGUCAAAUCAAUUAUAAAAAUAUUUCCUUUUAUUGAAGUAAGUUUCUUAAUGCUUGCUAAUCUUAUUUGAUUGCUACAUAUGAUUUUUUAUCUUAAAAGCACAUAAACGCAUGGACAUGGUCACAGACAUUUUAGGAAGGAGGAUAUUCAUAAGGUGUCCCCAAAAUAUCUGAUAAAAUAAAAAAAUAAAAUAGAUACAAAAGAUGACAAGUGUGCCCCGUAAGGUACCUGGUAAAAAUAAAAAAAUAAUUAAAAAAUAGACAUGCCAUGUGACUUGUUCCAGAGUGUCCAAAGAGCUAUGUAGCACAGAUACGAAUAUGAAAACUGACACAUACACUGAUACAUAGGAUACGAUAAUUCUCAAAAAUCAAAACAAGAAUACGGCCAGGACACGAUAAUUUUUUUUAAUAAUAUAUCUAUCUAUAUCUAUAUCUAUCUAUCUAUAAAAUUAUGUAUAUAAUUAUAUUAUAUUUAUGCAUAAACAACCAACUAGCAAAAAUCAAAAUCAAAAGUUAAAAAUUGAACCCGUACGAGGUGAAAUAGGCCUGGUGGGAGUUUUUCAGAGUUCUUUGGACUUCAUCAGAGGUCGUGGAGGGUAAGAUCCAUCGCAAAGGUAGAGAGAAAGAGAGACAGAAAUGGUUAAAGUUUAAAAUAGAGUAUAAGUAUAUUGAUCUAUUUACACAUUUUUAUAAUUUUAUCCUAAUUUUUUUAAAUAUACAUACAUAUUACAUUUUUUAAAAUUACACAAACAUACUCCACUCGUUUCGUCUUCGAAUGCCCAGGCGUGUAGAUCCCCACUAAUACAUUUAUAAAAAUAAGGGGACGUGUCUCGUAGUAUUUAAAUAAUUUGUCUCCAACGUGUUAGUGUCUUGUUGUGUCAGACAUGAAUACGAGGACUUCGGCGGUGUGUAUGCUUUAUAACUGAAGAGAGUCGGUGUUUGACACUGAUAGGACAAGUAAUUUAAAUUGGUCGUGUUGGAAUCAAUCAGAAUUUUUCUUCUUCUGAUGAAUAGCUUACAUAUAUAGACCCAAAAUCAUGAGCCCAUAUAUAAAUUUUUUCGUGAAUGACCCAAAAUACUGCCACGUGGCAAUCUAUAAAUACUUUUCAUAUUAGUGACUUUUUGUCUUUUUUUCCCCUCCACUAACUUUGUCUUUAUUUCUUCAUUAAUAUUUUUUGUAUUUCAUAUUUUAGUAAUUAAAGUAUGGUAGUGAUAACAUCAUUGUAAUUUCUUAUCAAACAAAUAUAAUAGAAAGUAAUAUCUUGUAUUUAAUAAUUACUCAAUUAACUAAAGUUCUUGCACUUCAAAAUCUCAAGUUAGUUUGAAAAUUGAUCGCAAACAAAAAAAUAUAUAUAAAAAAAAUAAAGAGGUAUUUAAUAGAAAAAAGAGAUAAAAAAUUUAAAUAUUAGGUUUGUUUUUAAUUUUUUAAGACAAUGUUUGAUUGAUUGGACUCAAAAUAAAGAUAAUACUCACCAUAAAAUUAUUAGUGCUUAUAAGAUUUUUCAAAUAUGGUGAAUUGAAUACGGAGUCAAAAGGCUAAUCGCACUUGUUAAGAAUUUUGAAUCUUAUUAUUAAAAAACAACUUGAGCUUUCUUAUAAGAGUUAAUUUUGCUAUGCUUAUGGGUAAUAAAGGGUUUCAUACCUUGUUUGAAUUCAGAUCACAAGAAAUAUAUUUUAUGUGUUUAUUUAUGCAUUCCUAAUUUAUUCUUUUCAAACUUUAAGUUGUGUUUAUAUGUGCAUUCCUAAUUACAACUUAAAAGCGAAAUUUUAAGUUGUUUUUAUUCUUUUUAAAAUACUCAUAAAAAUAAGUUUUGUGUUUAUUUAUGUAAAUUACAUUUGCACUCUAUAUUUCUAUUAUACAAUUUACUUCUAAUGAUCAAAAUUUUUACAUAUUAAUUCAUGUGUCAAUGCGGCAUUUCUGUUCAUUUAUUAUUCAGUUAAGUGAGAAAUUGAGAUGCGUGACUUUGUAGAAAUAGCUCAUUAAUUACAACUUAAAGCGAAAUAAUUGAUUGACACGAUACGUGGUAGUUAGUACAAAAUAUAAUUUAAGUAAAAGUAUAAAGGGGGAGGUAGGGUAUUAAUUUUUCCAUAAUUCUACAUAAAAGUUUUUGGUGGGUGCAUUAUUCAAUAUAAAUAGUUGUGCAUUUGUCUAAUGAGUUGUUCAAAAAGCUUCAAUAAUAAGUCACUGGUUCUUUCUCCAUAUUUUCCAUGUUAAUAAUCUGUUGACCGUUCAAAGCCUCGUUUGCAAAGUCUUCCAGAUUUAUUUUCAUUCUCCAAUUUCUCUGCAAAUACGAUCGGAUCUCGUGUCUUGAAGGGAUUCAAUUUAUAAAUAGGUGGGUGAUUAAAAUCGACGCGUAUUAAUUAUACAACUUAAAUAUAUAAAUAAGAGAGAAAGAAAGAGGUGACUAUAGUCAUUCGACCACAACUAUUAUGUAGUAUAUGUUUAUUUUAAAAUUUUCGUAAACCACAAUUACUAUGUAGUAUAUAUUCAUUUUAAAAAUUUCGUAUAAAGUAACACCCCAUAUAGAUAUAAUUUUAGCUUGUCUUAAAGUAAAUGAACUUUAACCAUAUACUUGUAUGAACUAGGGGUGUUUACGGGUCGGGCGGAUCGGAUUUGAUAAAAAUCCGCCAACCGCCGAUAAGUCGGGUUGGCAAUUCCAUCCGAAUCCGACCCGAACGGAUCACGAAACCGCAAAUGAACGGAUUGGCGGGUUGCGGCCGGGUUGGUGGAUUUAUUCUAACUUGGAAUAGUAAUUUUUUUCUCAAUUUUAGUUCCAAUUAAAAAUUUGAUUAUAAACUCAUUUAGGCCACAAGCACAAAAAUUAUAAGAAAAUACCCUUAACGUUUGAAAAAUUACACUAACCUCCCCUGAGCGUUUAGGUUAAUUCAAAAGCACCCCUGUCAGAGUUGUCCCUUUGUAAAAGUACUACUUUGCCCGCACACUUAUAAAAAAAGUACUAUAUUGCACUUUUGCCCUCUCUCUCUCUCCUCUCUUUAGUUUGUUUCUUUGUUUAUUGUUUUUUUAAUAAUUUUUAUAUUUUUUUAUUAAUCUAUUCUUUUUUAUCAGUGUUAUUUGUCUGUUUGGGUAAACAGUUUUUUUGUUAGAAAAUUAACCAUUUUAACCUUUUUUUAACAUCCAAUAACAAAGGAUAAAUUAUGCUAACAAUCCUUGAAGAUUUGGGUUAAACACAAACAUAGUUUAUAUUGUAUUUUUAACUAAUCUUUUUUUGAUACUUUUGGCUUAGAUUAAACUAGUUUUUUGAUUCUUUUUAAAAAAUAAACUACUUGAUUUUUUAGUUUUUUAUUUUAGUGAAUAUUUUUAACUCUUUUAUUAAAAUAUUAAGUAGCGAAAACUAUAUAAAUUUUAAAUUUUUAAACGAAUACUACUAUAAUAAAUAUAGUUUUUCAAAGCGGGGUAUAAGAGGUCCUCUCCCUCCCCCCAGUUUCAUCCUGGUUGACGUGCAAAACAUAUAAAACAAUGAGAAGCAAGUAUGGCAUAUCAUGAGUAGUAAUAAUUCCAAAAUACAUUGGAAACUAAUAAAAUUAAAAAAAAAGUGUAUGCCUCUUACUCUCCUUAAAAGUAAAAAAAUUACAUACCUCAGGGAAAAUGGAUUCCAAAAACUUAGGAAAGACCAAUAUUCUAUUAAGUGACCAUUAUAGACUUCCAGUUAAGAUAUUUGUCACUUAAUUAAUUUUACUUCCUAUAUGGUAGUAACACAUCAACAUAUAUACUUUUAUUACUGAAUUGUCUCUAUCUCUAAACCAUUUUUAAUCAAAAUAAUUAAAAAUAUUUACUAAAAUAAAAAACUAAAAAAUCAAAGUGACUAUUUUUUUUAAAAAAUAAAAAAUUAGUUUAAUCUAAACCAAAAGUAUAAAAAAAAAAUUAGAUUAGUUAAAAUAACAAAUAUAAACUAUGUUUGUGUAUUAAACUCAAAUCUCAGGGGGGCGGUUAGCGUAAUUUAUCCUUUUUUAAUUGGAUGUUAAAAAAAAAAGAAAAAGGUAAAUUUUCAACAAAAAAUCUUGUUUACCCAAAAAGAAAAAUAAAACUGAUAAAAAAAAUAAAUAUAUUUAAUAAAAAAAUAUAAAAAAUUAUUAAAAAAAACUAAUAAAAAAAACUAAUAAAAAAACUAAAAGAGAGAGAGAGAGAGAGAGAGAGAGAGAGGGCAAAGUGACAUAAUUGUCCAUAGGUGUGAGGACAAAGUAGUAAUUUUAUAAGGUGACAAAUUCUGACAGGGUAACCUGAAACCUCAGGAGAGGUCGAGUAUAAUUUACCAUUUUUUUUUAUAUUUUAACCCCUAACCUAAUAUUCUUGUUCCACCCUUGUAUAAACGUACUUGAUAUAUUUUCCACUAAUUCAAACAAUUUAUACCAUCAGGUUGCUUAUAAAAAACACUUGUUACGACUCCAAAAUUUGGGAUCCUUCCUGUAUUGAAGGGUUUCAAUUUAUAUAUAGGUGGGUGAUUAAAAUGAAUAUUCACACAGUAAAGUUUUUAUAUUUUUUUAUCUUUAUAGUUUUCUAGUCCUUGCGUUCCCAAGUUUUAAAUUAGUUUGUUUUUCUAGCUAUUUAGUUAUGCAUGAUUGGUGUGUUCUUAUUUUUAAUAAUUUUUCAAUUUGUGAUCUAUUUCUUUUAGUUCAAGUUAGUAGAGUUAACUGAAAAAUUUUAAAAAUUGAAAACAAUUCACAAAAAUCGAAAAUAAGGCAAAAUUUUGCUACAACCUUUUCUGUGUUCUAGUAAUUUUAUUUUAGAAGUUCUUUUAACUUUUUCAUUUUUUCUAGGACCUCCAAUAUUUUAUCAAAAAAACAGUACUCGUCCUAUAUUUGUGCAUGAUUACAUUUUUUAAUGAAGUCAGAUUUUUACCUGUUGUAUCAGGUUUUCUUAUUGGAAUUAUAGAAUGAUGACUUUGGACAAAUAGAAUGGGGGUAAUUUAAAUAUUCUUCUAUGUGCUUGUUUAUACAUAUACUCUCGUUUUAUUGUGUGUUAUGCGCCUCCUUUACAGGUGGGUAAUUAAAUAUUAAAGAAAAAUAAAAACAAAAAAUUAAUAAGAAAUUAAAAGAAUUCAAGGAAGUACAAGACACCAAAAGUCCAAACCAUGCAAAGGUUCACUACAAAAGUUGAGACAAUUGCACAUUUAAUAGGACACUAGUGUCCAUCCUAUUGGUUCAAAAUUUUGAGCUGUUUUAAAAUUUUUAUUCCUUUAAAAAAGUCAAUAUCGAGAGAAAAAUAUUAUAGAUUUUCUUUUUACUCUUUCAGUUUUUUUAAAUUGAUGUGACAAUUCUAAUUUUUCACUUUUGGUAAUUUUAAGUGAUGAAGAUAUUUUAAAAAGGUUUUAAAAAUUAAAGUGUAGUUUUAUUAUCCUUUUAAAAAAUUAAGUUCUCCAUUCCAAAAUAGACAAAAGAAACUAGGAUGGGUGAUAUUAAUAGUCUGUUAAUCAAAGUCUGGCAGGUUUCGGUUUAAAGGUCUAGUAACUGCCAAAAACGUUAAACUUUGAUACACAAUUACAUAUUUUAAUGCAAACUUUCACAUAUUUAUAUAUAUUUAUUCUAUAGCUU